CCUACGGGUGGCAGCAGUGAGGAAUAUUGGUCAAUGGGCGAGAGCCUGAACCAGCCAAGUCGCGUGAGGGAGUACUGCCCUAUGGGUUGUAAACCUCUUUUGUCGGGGAGCAAAAGCCGGACGUGUCCGGCUGUGAGAGUACCCGAAGAAAAAGCAUCGCCUAACUCAGUGCCAGCAGCCGCGGUAAUACGGAGGAUGCGAGGGUUAUCCGGAUUUAUUGGGUUAAAAGGGUGCGCAGGCGGAUUUUUAAGUCAGCGGUAAAAUCGUGGGGCUCAACCCCAUCCAGCCGUUGAAACUGGGGAUCUAGAGUGUGCGAGAGGUAUGCGGAAUGCGUGGUGUAGCGGUGAAAUGCAUAGAUAUCACGCAGAACCCCGAUUGCGAAGGCAGCAUACCGGUGCACAACUGACGCUCAGGCACGAAAGCGUGGGUAUCGAACAGGAUUAGAUACCCUUGUAGUC
rnacentral:rRNA from 1 species